AAUAUGAAAUGAAAUGUAGCGCGUACGUACACACUUGAGAAAUGCAUUCGUAUAUGGAUUUAGUCGAAUGUAUGCAACGUAAACAUGACCGAGGAGCUGUCUGGCGUGACAAUAGUGGUAUUUAUUGCAGCUGGAGUAUUAACGAUGUUAUUGCUAUUCAUUUUUGCAAAACGACAAAUUAUGAGAUUUACUUUACGAUCGCGUCGUGGCCCUCAUAUUCCUAUUGGACACGAUGCAAGAAAGUCGCUCAAGAAAGAGAUUGAAAGGCGAAUAGAAGUAAUACCAAGAAUUCAGUAUGAACCGCAACUUAUUAGCGAUCCACGAUUUAUCGUGACGCCUAAAACACAGGUUCCACCUCAUUAUUACAGAUUAAAAGUAGUAGAUGAUGUUAAAUCUUUGGAAGCUGAAAUCAGUAAAUACGAUAAUUUUCUAAAAAGGCAUCCAACUGAAAAUUUGAGGGCGUAUUUGCUUUCUACAUUAGCUCCUCCAUUGAAUGGAAAUGGACAACGGUUGAUUCAUCAAUUUUGUGAUUUGUAUGAACAUGCAAGACACGAUCCAACAGAAUUUGGGGACGAGGAGUAUCAAGUAUAUACAAGAUUGUUUCUUAAAUUAAUGGAUUCAGCUCGUUUAUUAAAAUCGUAUCCGAGCAGUAGAAAAUCUAGUCCAAGUCGUACGCCCAUAAAGAAAAAUGUUGAAACGAAACGGAAUAUAUUAGAACCUCGGAUGAAAUUGCCGGAAGACCAAACGUUAACUGGAUCUCGCCCCAACACAUUAACAGUUAUGACUUUGGACAAUAGCGAGACAUCCGUUUAGCAUUAUGAAAAGUGUCACAUACAACAUAUGUGACGACAUAUCUGUUCGUAACUGCCGACCACGGUGUCAUAUGACAUUACAUGGGGAGCCGAAUUGUACGAGAGACCGGGAACAAUGACUUGACAAAAAUGGAAGUGUAAAGAAACGAAACAAGAAUGACACACCUUGGAGGAAAAAGGUCGGUCGUCGGUCGUCGGUCGUCGUUCCGUAGUCGUAACGAAUUUCAACGUGUACGUCCCGAAGAAGAGGAGGAGAGUGUUUUGCAUGCAUGUAACGCACAGCUAAACUGUCUAGGCGUUUUACGACGAAGCUCAGUUACAGUAUACGACGGGGGUUACAUUAAUAUUGGACAAAGUUUGCGAAACGGCGAAUAAAACGAUCUACAGCAAUCGACGA